rnacentral:ncRNA from 1 species
AUAAAAGUACUGAUGAAGAGGAGUACACAGGUAGAUUGCUGAAGAGAGAAUGGUGUUCAUCGGCUGGAAGACACCAGAGUUAAGCUUGUGGAAGGUAGCUUCUGAACUUAUAAGAUGAAACAUUUAAGAUGUAAGUAGUUUUAUACGGUUUAUUCCCGUUACAGAAUAAAAGAGAUAUACGCUUAUAAGUGUAUAACAAAGGUGGUACCGCGAUAAUUCGCCCUUUAU